ACUUUCAGCGGGGAGGAAGGGAGUAAAGUUAAUACCUUUGCUCAUUGACGUUACCCGCAGAAGAAGCACCGGCUAACUCCGUGCCAGCAGCCGCGGUAAUACGGAGGGUGCAAGCGUUAAUCGGAAUUACUGGGCGUAAAGCGCACGCAGGCGGUUUGUUAAGUCAGAUGUGAAAUCCCCGGGCUCAACCUGGGAACUGCAUCUGAUACUGGCAAGCUUGAGUCUCGUAGAGGGGGGUAGAAUUCCAGGUGUAGCGGUGAAAUGCGUAGAGAUCUGGAGGAAUACCGGUGGCGAAGGCGGCCCCCUGGACGAAGACUGACGCUCAGGUGCGAAAGCGUGGGGAGCAAACAGGAUU
rnacentral:rRNA from 1 species